AUGGGGCUUCUUGAAAGAGACGGAGCUUGCCAGUGGUCGCGGAAAUCCUUUUGCCGAGGCCUCCCUUUCCAAGGUGGCAGGAGAUUUGGAGCCCUCAUCUUGAUUUCUCGAGCUUUUCUCCGUGGAUACCCCAGCUUCCUCCCCCCUGAGGAGGAGAGACAGAUGGAAGAUUCUGAGGCCGGAGACGGGACAUCUCGCCGGGGCUUCGUGAUCUUGUCGAGUGACGACGAAGUGGGUGAGAAUUUCCCCGGAGCUUCUCGGGACACAGCAGAUGCGGAAGUCAGGGGCGCAGGAGCGCGCUCCUCCAGCCGACCGAAACACAUACCGGCGGCUUCAGCGCUCCUGGCGGCUGUCGAGGUACCCGUGGCGCGUUGGUUCGCGAGGGACCAGAUCCCGAAGAGGAAAAAGAGGAGCGGCGGAAGCGUCAGAGAGGAUGGAUCGAACCUUGCGAUCGGCCGUAAACGUCGACGGGCGGAGGCGUCUUCAACCUUACAGAGCCCAGCAGCGCUUGUAGGUGCAACUGUGAUUCUUGGCUCUCCGUCGCCAAACCCCGCAGAGGGCUGCAGCAGCCUGGUUUGCCCACCCUCAGGAGCUUCGCUUGGCGAGAAAACCCUUGGUGGCGCAGCCACGAAACUGCCUUCGUCUUCUCAUGAAAAGGCCCUCGAUGUCACCGCUGGGCAAGGAGCGGCGGCCCUUCUUGGGGCCUUAUCGCCUGGUCAAGUCUCACUUCCAGGGGCGAUCUCGCCUCUCGCGGGCGAUCCGGAACCUAUGAGAGCGCCUUCCCGAGGCCUGGCUCCUUCUGCUGAAACUUUGCCUUCUCUGCUGCUAAACCCUGCAAAUCUUGACCGGGCUUCCUCUGCCUCUCUGCUUGACCUUGGGGUGCAAAUCAUGGAGCGCCUCAAGGCUUAG
rnacentral:rRNA from 1 species